rnacentral:rRNA from 1 species
UACGAAGGGGGCUAGCGUUGCUCGGAAUUACUGGGCGUAAAGGGCGCGUAGGCGGUCGUGACAAGUCACUUGUGAAAUCUCCGGGCUUAACUCGGAACGGUCAAGUGAUACUGUCGGACUAGAGUACAGAAGGGGCAACUGGAAUUCUCGGUGUAGCGGUGAAAUGCGUAGAUAUCGAGAGGAACACCUGCGGCGAAGGCGGGUCUCUGGGCCGAUACUGACGCUGAGGAGCGAAAGCGUGGGGAGCAAACAGG